AGGGGACAUAGCAGCCUCCCCUCGAGAUGGCAGCCAUCCAUCCAAGUGCUGG
ncrna:unclassified sequences chromate-resist RNA